rnacentral:rRNA from 1 species
UACGAGGGGGGCAAGCGUUGUUCGGAAUUAUUGGGCGUAAAGGGCGCGUAGGCGGUGUCGCAAGUCCGUGGUGAAAUCUCUAGGCUCAACUUAGAGACUGCCGCGGAAACUGCGGUGCUUGAGUGUGGGAGAGGUGCGUGGAAUUCCCGGUGUAGCAGUGAAAUGCGUAGAGAUCGGGAGGAACAUCUGUGGCGAAGGCGGCCAUCUGGACCAGCACUGACACUGGAGGCACGAAAGCGUGGGGAGCAAACAGG